ACUCCUGCGGGAGGCAGCAGUGGGGAAUUUUGGACAAUGGGCGAAAGCCUGAUCCAGCAAUGCCGCGUGAGUGAAGAAGGCCUUCGGGUUGUAAAGCUCUUUUGUCAGGGAAGAAACGGUGAAAGCUAAUAUCUUUUGCUAAUGACGGUACCUGAAGAAUAAGCACCGGCUAACUACGUGCCAGCAGCCGCGGUAAUACGUAGGGUGCAAGCGUUAAUCGGAAUUACUGGGCGUAAAGCGUGCGCAGGCGGUUUUGUAAGUCUGAUGUGAAAUCCCCGGGCUCAACCUGGGAAUUGCAUUGGGGACUGCAAGGCUAGAAUCUGGCAGAGGGGGGUAGAAUUCCACGUGUAGCAGUGAAAUGCGUAGAUAUGUGGAGGAACACCGAUGGCGAAGGCAGCCCCCUGGGUCAAGAUUGACGCUCAUGCACGAAAGCGUGGGGAGCAAACAGGAUUAGAUACCCUUGUAGUCCCAUG
rnacentral:rRNA from 1 species